UAUUAGAUAGUGUAAAACAUAGUAAAUUGCAAGUUUAAAGAAGUAAUUACUCUAGUAU
rnacentral:tRNA from 1 species